GUGGCUGUGGCUCAGUGGUACAGCACUUGCCCAGCACGUGUGAGGCACUGGGUACAAUCCUCAGCACCACA
rnacentral:tRNA from 1 species